rnacentral:rRNA from 1 species
GGAAUCUUCCGCAAUGGACGAAAGUCUGACGGAGCAAUGCCGCGUGAGUGACGAAGGUUUUCGGAUCGUAAAACUCUGUUGUAAGGGAAGAACAAGUACCAAGUAACUACUGGUACCUUGACGGUACCUUACCAGAAAGCCACGGCUAACUACGUGCCAGCAGCCGCGGUAAUACGUAGGUGGCAAGCGUUGUCCGGAAUUAUUGGGCGUAAAGCGCGCGCAGGCGGUCCCUUAAGUCUGAUGUGAAAGCCCACGGCUCAACCGUGGAGGGUCAUUGGAAACUGGGGGACUUGAGUGCAGAAGAGGAAAGUGGAAUUCCAUGUGUAGCGGUGAAAUGCGUAGAGAUGUGGAGGAACACCAGUGGCGAAGGCGACUUUCUGGUCUGUAACUGACGCUGAGGCGCGAAAGCGUGGGGAGCAAACAGGAUUAGAUACCCGGG